rnacentral:rRNA from 1 species
GAUGAACGCUGGUGGCGUGCCUAAUACAUGCAAGUCGAGCGAAUGGAUUAAGAGCUUGCUCUUAUGAAGUUAGCGGCGGACGGGUGAGUAACACGUGGGUAACCUGCCCAUAAGACUGGGAUAACUCCGGGAAACCGGGGCUAAUACCGGAUAACAUUUUGAACCGCAUGGUUCGAAAUUGAAAGGCGGCUUCGGCUGUCACUUAUGGAUGGACCCGCGUCGCAUUAGCUAGUUGGUGAGGUAACGGCUCACCAAGGCAACGAUGCGUAGCCGUCCUGAGAGGGUGAUCGGCCACACUGGGACUGAGACACGGCCCAGACUCCUACGGGAGGCAGCAGUAGGGAAUCUUCCGCAAUGGACGAAAGUCUGACGGAGCAACGCCGCGUGAGUGAGGAAGGCUUUCGGGUCGUAAAACUCUGUUGUUAGGGAAGAACAAGUGCUAGUUGAAUAAGCUGGCACCUUGACGGUACCUAACCAGAAAGCCACGGCUAACUACGUGCCAGCCGCCGCGGUAA